UUCUACCACCUAUAUGAAGCAAUCACAUCCAGUGUCCAUUAGUUCUUACAAUUAUAAUUGACAUGGACACUUACACAAAUCUAGAAAGUCUCCCACUUCCCAGAUUCCACUGCUCCUUUUUUGGUUGCUGGUGCUGACAAGACUGUCCAAAAUAACGUUACUCAAAGAAUAAAGAUAUUAAAAUACAGAGGUCAUAGAUUGCGGCAAAGCUGGAGGUCCAUGUAAUAAAAAAGAAUUCUGUAAAUUAGAAAUAACUAUGAUUAUUAUAAUUUGCUUGUAAAUAACUUGAAACAAUUAAACUAAAUUAGUUUUUAAAGAACAUCCCAGCUCUAAAGUUGUAAUGCUAAGGUUUUCCAAAAUACAUCAUCAUCAUAAACAAAUAUAUAUAUAGUGUCAAGAAAUGCUCUAAAAAUUAUAUAGAGUGAAACUGACUAUAAUCAAUACACUAUACGUCAAGCCAAUUUCAAUUUCUCUAGAUAAGUAAAAAGAAAGAAAGAAAAAUACAAACUAACAUAAAGGAGUAUUACUUUGGUUUAAAUAGCAAGUCAUUAUUUAAACCACUCUGAUUUCGACAUAAGUUACCAACUAAAAACAUAUGAAAGCCAUUCCUUCCUUAGAGAAGAACCAAUUUUCUCAAAUAUUUCAAAGUAUACUACAGUUAUUAGUGCAAAACAAUUUAAAAAAAAAAAAGCUAGGGGAUUUUCCAUAUUUAAGUUACACAAACAUGAAUUCAAAAUCUUAAAUCAUGGGUGUUCCCUUUGUGGCUCAGUGGUAAUGAACUCGACUUGUAUCUAUGAGGACGUGGGUUCGAUCCCUGGCCUCGCUCAUGGGUUAAGGAUCCGGCAUUGCCAUGAGCUGUGGGGUGGGUCACAGACGUGGCUUGGACUUAGUGUUGCUGUGCCUAUGGUGUAGGCCAGCAGCUAUAAGCUCCGAUUCAACCCCUAGCCUGGGAAUCUCCAUGCACUGCAGGUGCAACCCUAAAAAGACAAAAUAUAUAAAUAAAAAGAUACGUAAAAAUCCAAAAAAGAAACUAAGAAAGGGAAAUAACCAGCUGAACUAAUUUUCACAAGGCCACAUUUAGCCUCUGCUGUGAACUGAUUACUUAGGUGCUGCGGCUCUAUAUUCUCCCCUGUACCAUCCACCUCUUAAUAUCCCGGAAAUCCUGAUCCUAGGAAUGUAACCGUUUCAGCCAGACUGCCAAAGGCAAUUCAGAGUUUUCAGUUUAUCAUUCAUGGCUAAAGCUGAACUCACUGCUCAGAAUCUUGAAACUACACACUGGCCAGAGAACACUGUGCCCACUUUAAUUGAGGGUAAAAAUGAUCCAGGUAAUUGCUAACCACGGGGAUUGCUUAGCUCCUGGCAAACGCGUGGUGUUACAAACUGUUAGACUCAUCAAAUAAUAAUAAUGGUUAUUACAUAAUUAUUAUUUAUAUAAUUAUUAUAAUGAUGAAUAUAAUUACUUAUGUAAUUUUAUAAUAUAUACUUCGAUGAUUUUAUAUAGAUAUAUUAUUAUAAUUAUGAAAUUUAUUGUUGUUAUUAUUAUUAUCACCACCACCAUCACCACCAAGUUCAAACACACUAAGACCUCAGGCACAGAUUUUUCACUUAGAGCCGUGAGAGCGAAAUUUCUGUCCGGGUCCCCGGUUCUACUGCAUUCAAGCUCUAUAACCUAGUGCAAGCCCCUUUACCUUUAUCUACAGAAGACAGAUGAUUUCUAAAGCUCCUUUAAGCCUCCAUCACUCUUUAGGCCUUGUGCCCUGGAAAUCUGUAUACUGAAUAAUGAAUGGCCAUAUCAAACCUCACACAUGGUUUUUGCCAUAAGGC
ensembl:lncRNA